rnacentral:pre_miRNA from 1 species
CUCAGACAUCUCGGGGAUCAUCGUGUCACGAGAUAUCACUGUGCACUUGUGACAGAUUGAUAACUGAAAGGUCUGGG